GGUGAGGUGGAUGAGUGGCCGAAGUCAGCUCACUGCUAACGAGUCGAUCUCAAAAGGAUCCGCGGGUUCGAAUCCCGCCCUCACCG
rnacentral:tRNA from 1 species